rnacentral:lncRNA from 1 species
CGGGUCAUCAGCAUGAGCUGAAUGCAUGGAGGAGAGGACACAGCAAGGUUGAGUUCUUUAGCCGUCUUCGCCAACCUCGUCGCGGUGGAAUUCGAUGACAGGGAGAUGAGAGGGGAUGCGAAGAGAAGCCAGCAGCUUGAUGGUGGAGUGAGAGGGGUGGAUGCAGGUCACUCCUAUAUCCCAUCCUUUCUUUGCUCUGCCAGUCUUCCCUCCCAAAGCUCGGCUCAAAAUCUGCAUACAGACAAAGAUGUCAUCAAACUAUGCCUCAUGGUCAUGGUUACCGAAAGAACACAUUGAUCCGAGAGAUAGAUAUCCCACAUCAACAAGGUUCUUCUGAUCUAUUCUUUAUAAAACACAUCGACAGUUUUACCCAGUUGAUGAUGUCUAUACCAUAUAUCCAAGACAGAGAGAGAGAGAAAGCAGUCACCAGUUGUCAUUUUCUGAAAGGAAGAAACUGGAAAUGGGGAUGAGGAGGGCCAGUGGCAGUGCAGUGACAAGAGUGUUGUGCCAUGGCUCCUUUACUGUGGUUACUAAAUUAGAUGGUGCUUCACUCUGUGGUCAGUGGAUAGAGAUGGUGGAUCUCCUCCGUGGUCCCCAUGGUGCAACAAAUCUUCUUAGAUAGCUACUUGGCAAUGCUUGAUCCUGCAUUGUGCAGCUUUAAUGACCACCCACUCUUGUGGAUGUUCCAAAUGAAUUGUCUCCACAUGAUACCUGAUCCCUAGACAUCACCACAUGAUAUGUUGUUCCUAGAGAGUGAAUCUUGCUGUCAUGAUAAAGUUUGUUCUUUUUGAGAUCCAAUUAAGCAGUGUUCCCGCUACCAAACUAAACUCUUCCCUUCCUUGCAAAGAUGACACUAAUAAGACUCGAGUACAAUAGUAUUUCUCAGAUUUCACAUUGAUGGAAGCAUCACUUUUUUAAUGGAUGUCAAAUCAAGUUAAGAGGAAAAAAAAAAAUAGUACUAUUGUCAUAAAAAAAAUUCUUGUUUGAAUGCCAUCUAGGAAGGCUUAAAAUAAAAAAAGAAAAUAAAAGAUGAAGAGACAAAAUUUCCAGGGCUCCAACCCCAAGAAGAAGACUGACCCAUUUGUAUUCUGACCUUAUUAAAAAGGUAAACAAAUAAACGACUUAGCUUCUCAUUGAUUGAAAACUAUCAAGGCUAAUCUGUAGUCCUAAUGGCAGAUCAGUAGGUUUCAUCAAAAUAAUGGAGGCAUACAGAUGAGCUCAGAGAGGACAUAGACUGGACUUAGAAUCAGUCUCCCCAGUCACAUCAAAGUUGGUAAGAGUAUGAUCAAGCUGUGGAAAUAGGUAUGGCAGUUUCCAGAUUCUUUGAUUGUGUCCCUGUUUAUGCAUGCACCACAUUAUUCCCGUCAAAGUCUUUUCCUGAUCUCCUCCUUCAAAUGGGGGCUUUUCGACCAUGGUAUAAGCAUGAAAGACACCAAUCUAUUCACAAUCAUAAAGUAAUCAACCUUCGUCUGAUGAGACUUCUUACCUGCCUAGGCUUGUCAAUGAUAUUCUUGGCUUAUGUAUCUGUCACAUCCAAUCUCUACCGACAGAGCUUUAAAUCUAACAUUGAUCACAUUGUUUUUACUCUCUCAUCUCUCUAAAAGAAAUUGCUACGAGAAAAAUCUCCAAGAUCAUGUUUUCUGCGUGCUCCAACUAUUACCGGUUUCCACUGUGGGGUAAUUUCACAGACAGAAGAUAUGCACUACUGAGGAGAAGAGGGUAUACCUGGUGGCCAAAGCAGACACCGAGGACCUUCUUCUUGAGGGAAUCCAAGGCCUUGAGGAAGGAGACGAGGUCGUUGAUCCACUGGUCGUCGCCGUGGGCGUCGUUGCAGCUGCCGGUGAUCACGAAACCGUCGUACGUGCCGACGUCCUCCAUGCACGGCAGCUCGCG